CUGGAUGGUGCAAAUUGGUUAAAGCAUUUGACUGCUAACCAAAAGGCUGAAUGUUUGAGUCCAUCCAGA
rnacentral:tRNA from 1 species